GUGAAUCAUCAAAUCUUUGAACGCAAAUUGCACUCUCUUCGGAUAGUAUGCCUGUUUGAGUUUCAGCCUAAGAAUAAUCGACAUUGUCGCUGUUUCUUGGUUAUAUUCGUCGGAAAUUGGUUCUUCUUAAACCUUUUGUUUUUAAGCGGCUUAAAAUUUUCUUUUGGUUUCUACGAAAGUUUCUAAGAUUUUCUUCUUUCACUUUGAAGUUA
rnacentral:misc_RNA from 1 species